rnacentral:rRNA from 1 species
AAAAUGACUCUCGGCAACGGAUAUCUCGGCUCUCGCAUCGAUGAAGAACGUAGCGAAAUGCGAUACUUGGUGUGAAUUGCAGAAUCCCGUGAACCAUCGAGUCUUUGAACGCAAGUUGCGCCCGAAACCAUUAGGUUAAGGGCACGUCUGCCUGGGUGUCACA